rnacentral:lncRNA from 1 species
AUAGCCUUUACUUCAGUUUUCACAAGCUGUCCAAAAUCAGUUGGCAGCAAAUAGGUAAAACAAGUUUAAACGUCAUCACUCAAGCUUCAAUCUAGAGAAAAGUUGCCAUACUUACCUCACAGAAUUUCAACUCAGUUCCUGCUGAGUUAAGGUGGAAGAACAUAGUCAAACAUCAAUUCCCAAGCUUCAAAAGCCAUCCCCCAGGUUUCCAAACCAGCUUGUAGCAAGAGAGGGAGAAAAACCAACUCAAAUCCACUAGUUUUUCCUUUCCAAAUGGAAGACCUAGAGAGAAAAAGAAAGAAGGCAUCCCUUACCUUAUCCUCA